rnacentral:rRNA from 1 species
UACGGGGGGAGCAAGCGUUGUUCGGAUUUACUGGGCGUAAAGGGCGCGUAGGCGGUCGUGACAAGUCACUUGUGAAAUCUCCGGGCUUAACUCGGAACGGUCAAGUGAUGCUGUCGGACUAGAGUACAGAAGGGGCAACUGGAAUUCUCGGUGUAGCGGUGAAAUGCGUAGAUAUCGAGAGGAACACCUGCGGCGAAGGCGGGUUGCUGGGCUGAUACUGACGCUGAGGCGCGAAAGCCAGGGGAGCGAACGGG